AUCGGUUAACGCGAUCUUUUCCCGGUAAUAUGCAAAUCUGAUAACAACAAACAUUAGGUAAAGUACCUCCAUGUCUCCGAAACAGAUAUAAAAACUCGACGUACAUUAAGUUUUAUUAAUAGUAUCACAGUUUCGUGGUUGCUGACUUCGUAGUGCUGAAAAUAAGCUUGCAAAAUAGAUAUUACCGUUUUGUCUCUAGUAGUUUAAUAAUAAUCUGAAAUAUGAAUAAAUUAUUAGUUUUUGCACUUUUUGCCGCCAUCUGUAUUGUCUUUUCUUCAGCCGCACCAAUGGAGAGAUCAGAAGAUGAAGCUGAAUCAGAGUUGGGAGAGGCCAGAAAAUAUUGUGAUAAUACAAACUGUAAAUAUGAUUGCCUUUUCGCAGGAUUCAAAACAGGACGAUGUAAAUACGGUGGCUGUGUUUGUGAAUAAGAUUCUAAUUCUAACGGCGAUUGAAAUGAAAUUUGAAUUCCUUUAUUGUUGUAACAAUUUUAUUAACUUUAAAUUUAGAUGUAGGUAAUGUUUUAUAAUAUAUGUAGGCACAACCGUUUAGUGCUAUUGAAACAAUUUCGUUUUAUUUUUGCUUUAGCAUGAGGAAAAAUUCAUUAUAAAAGCAAAUAUCACUUUCAAAAAAAGAAACAAAACAGGACUCUCUUUAAAAUAAAAACAGACAAACGUGGGGCUGGGCGAUUAUUAAAUUCAGUAAUUGAUUGUCGACUCUAAGAAAAUUAUUGAUUAUUGCGAUUAAUUGGAAUAAACAAUUAUGUCGAUUAUUUUUCGAUUAGGUGCAGAUAUAUAAGUAAAUAAUAAAUCUCGCUAAUAAUUAUAACAAAAUAUUGUACAUAGACACGGUGAUUGUUGAUCGUUUUUAGGAGAAUUUGCUGUUAUAAAAUCGAAUUAGGCUUUAGUAAAUUAUCCAUUUCUAUAAUUUUAUAUUGACCUAAAGUACCUAUUAAUUCUGAGUCUUUCACUAAUUUUAUUAUUACUUUUGGAUCUUUAUACGUGAUAGAAAUAAUGUAAUCGAUAUGCAUAUAUUAAAUUAAGUACCUUAAGUAAACAAUAUAUUACGUACGAAAGGACAAAAGUACCUUAUUCCGUCUCGGGUGUGAAUUGCCACCCGAGUCGAAGAGGAAGGCGGAAAACUUUCUUCCUGAGGUUCGUAUAGGUACGAUUUUGUACCAUACUGCUGCCCUGAAAGUACGAUUUCUCCUGAUUUCAAGAAUGAGAAAUUGCAUCACAAUCCCUCAGGUAAGACAUUUACUGGUCAUUAUGAAGGCAUUUUAACAUCUUCUGGCUGGAAACAACACGGAGGAUAUAUUAAAUACUUUCUCAGUAAUAAGUAAAUGCUUUCGUCCUUGAAGCCAGGGAAAGAUACUGUACUUUAUAAGGGUGUGGUAAAAAACAACGUACACAUAAAUGUGUGUCAUACGUAGAAGAAAAUAAACAAUAAUAAAAAAGCUACAUAAUAUUUUUUAUUGUACAAGCAACAAAUAUUGUAAUCAGAUAAAGUUUUUCAAUAUUGCAACUGAUGUAUACCUAAUGCAUAUAUAUAUAUUAAGGAUCACUGAAAUUUGUUUUAUGAAAAUUUAUUUAUUUAAUGUAUGUGCAUAUGUAUAUAUUUACCAAUGUACCUACUAUAAUAAACAUGUUUAUUCUACA